rnacentral:rRNA from 1 species
ACAUAGCUCCCAGAAGUUGCUUCGUAGGGGGGUGAGGCCUGCCCAAUGGUUGUAUCUGAAUUUAGGCGGUACCAAGGCUGCUUAAUUAAUGGCAAUUGAAUGGCCGCGGUAACUCUGACCGUGAUAAUGUAGCGCAAUCAAUAGUCAAUUAAUUGUUGACACGUAUGAAUGGCGUAACGAGUGCCCCACUGUCUCAAGAUUCAAACCAGUGAAAUUGAAAUGGUAGUGAAGAUGCUAUCUCACAUUGUAAGACGAGAAGACCCCGUUGAGCUUUACUGGAAACUCUAAUUGUUUGCUUAAACACUAAGCGGUGGCCCCACCAUUUAAGUUCAUUUAAACCAGGAAGUUUGAGUUGGACAGUUUGAUUGGGGCGAUGGCCUUCUAAAGAAUAACGAAGGCGCACAAAGGUAGGGAGAUAAUAUUAUGUAAAGCCUGACAGUUAGGCAAAAUACAAGCUGACACAGCCAUGCUGUGGGUUAUAGUGACCCGUUAGUCAAGGGUGGAAUUGCUAGCGAGUAACAAAUAAAAGUUACCACGGGGAUAACAGCGUAAUUUUCGUUUGAGAGUUCUUAUUGAUGACGGAGUUUCCCACCUCGAUG